rnacentral:rRNA from 1 species
CAGCCGCCGCGGGAAUACAGAGGAUGCAAGCGUUAUCCAGAAUGAUUGGGCGUAAAGCGUCUGUAGGUGGCUUUUCAAGUCCGCUGUCAAAUCCCAGGGCUCAACCCUGGACAGGCGGUGGAAACUACCCAGCUAGAGUACGGUAGGGGCAGAGGGAAUUUCCAGUGGAGCGGUGAAAUGCGUUGAGAUCGGAAAGAACACCAACGGCGAAAGCACUCUGCUGGGCCGACACUGACACUGAGAGACGAAAGCUAGGGGAGCAAAUGGGAUUAGAGACCCCCGUAGUCCCUGUCUCUUAUAC